ACCACCUCCCUAUCACUCUUCUCUUCCUCACUUAACCACCACUCCCUUCCCAAACCUCAACUAUCGGUCACACCCUCCUCUCAUAGAUCCAUGCCCAAGUGCGACCUCCACUGCGCUGCCACCAAGCCCAAGGAGGCCAAACUCCGGGGCGGCCGCUUCGAGGAGGGCAUCACCGACGCCAUCGAGCGCUUCACCAAGUCCAUCUCCUUCCACAAAGCCCUCUACAAGCAUGACAUCAUGGGCAGCAAGGCCCACGCCUCAAUGCUCCCCAAACAGGGAUUCAUCACUAUCGAUCUGAUAGUGAUGAAUUGAGUUGGAUGGAAUUGAGAGCUCGCACAACUGAGUUGGAAUUGGAAAAGUCUUCACCCUUAAAAAUAAAAAAAAGAAGCCACACACUCUCUCUUCUCUCGCUAAACGACUCCUCCUUAGAUCUAGAUCUAGCAAUCUUUAUUCAUCUUCUCGGCCUUCUCCGUGCUCUCGGAUGAUUUUUAAGUUUCUCGAUCUCGAUUUACUAUCCUCUCCGACUGGAUGUGAGAGAAAUCUGAAAGCCAUCUGACAAUACAAACAAUUGAUGUUCUCUCUCCCAUCGGUGAAGCACCAUGGUAGAUCCAUUAUCAUGUUGGGCUCUUCAGUUUUGGAAGGCUGGGGAGUUUGAGGUAGUGCCUUGUGGCGAUGCAGAUUCUUCUGCUGGUGAUGUUUUGCAGCUUUUGCGGAGCUAUUAGACAAUGCAAUAGAUGAGGUUUGCACUGGUGCUACUUAUGUUAAGGUAGAUGUGCUUGAAAAUCAGAAAGACUGAAGCAGAAUGUUGCUGAUUGAAGAUAAUGGUGGUGGGAUGAAUCCAGAUAAGAUACGAGACUGCAUGUCAUUGGGUUUUCUACAAAGAGCAAAAUCGCAAACACAAUUGGACAAUAUGGAAAUGGUUUUAAAACAAGUACCAUGAGGCUUGGGGCAGACGUGAUUGUGUUCACUCGUUGUUGUGGAAAAGAUGGAAAAAGUGCUACGCAGAGCAUUGGAUUGCUGUCUUACACAUUUUUGAAGAGCACAGGAAAGGAAGAUUUUGUUGUUCCCAUGGUCCACUGCAAACAAGCUUCUGGAAUGGUUUUGUCAUUGUAUAGCAAAGAGAAACUUUGCUACAGCGCUAGCGUUCACUUACUAAGAAAUCAUAUAUUGAGUCUGCCAAAGCAUCGAGACAGCAGCUCAAAGAAGCCAAAAAAAAAGCUGGAGUUUCCUAGGCAUAAGCUGGCAUACAGUUACUUUGGUGCUGCAAUUCUUUAUCCUCCUGAACUAGUACAUAGGUGAUGCAAUCUUUAUGUAUGAAGAAAUUUUAAUCAAUGUACGUGCCACAAAUUGUAAUUGUUGAUACAAGGUUUUGAUUGUUGGUUGGUUUAAUUAUAAUGGAUUUGAUAUUGUAGUUUAACUUCA